GAUGAAGAACGUAGCGAAAUGCGAUAAGUAAUGUGAAUUGCAGAAUUCAGUGAAUCAUCGAAUCUUUGAACGCACCUUGCGCCCUUUGGCCAUUCCGAAGGGCAUGCCUGUUUGAGUAUCAUGAACACCUUAACUCUUUAUGGUUUUCCAUGAUGAGCUUGGACUCUGGGGGUUUUGCUGGCUCACAGUCGGCUCCUCUAAAAUGAAUCAGCUUACCAGUGUUUGGUGGGUAUCAUGGGUGUGAUAACUAUCUACGCUUGUGGUUUUUCCACCAGGUAACCUUCAGCAGUGGAGGUUCGCUGGAGCUCAUAGAUGUCUCUCCUCAGUGAGGACAGCCCUUUGAAUGUUUGAUCUCAAAUCAGGUAGGACUACCCGCUGAACUUAAGCAUAUCAAUAAGCGGAGGA
rnacentral:misc_RNA from 1 species